CCUACGGGGGGCUGCAGUGGGGAAUAUUGGACAAUGGGGGGAACCCUGAUCCAGCCAUGCCGCGUGUGUGAAGAAGGCCCUCGGGUUGUAAAGCACUUUCAGUGAGGAAGAACGCCUGGUGGUUAAUACCCAUCAGGAAAGACAUCACUCACAGAAGAAGCACCGGCUAACUCCGUGCCAGCAGCCGCGGUAAUACGGAGGGUGCGAGCGUUAAUCGGAAUUACUGGGCGUAAAGCGCGCGUAGGUGGCUUGAUAAGCCGGUUGUGAAAGCCCCGGGCUCAACCUGGGAACGGCAUCCGGAACUGGCAAGCUAGAGUGCAGGAGAGGAAGGUAGAAUUCCCGGUGUAGCGGUGAAAUGCGUAGAGAUCGGGAGGAAUACCAGUGGCGAAGGCGGCUUUCUGGACUGACACUGACACUGAGGUGCGAAAGCGUGGGUAGCAAACAGGAUUAGAUACCCCAGUAGUC
rnacentral:rRNA from 1 species